rnacentral:snoRNA from 1 species
CAGGUACAUGAAAAAAUAACCUCUCUCACGACCAUGAGAUCAACCCCAUGCACCACUCUGAGACCUG